GGGGCGGCGCCUGCGCGGUGGCUGCCCCUCGGCGGGAGGGGAGGGAAGGAAGCUGCGCGGGGCGGGAGCGCCCCUGGCUUCACCUGAGGGGCCGCGGGGCGGCCCCAAGGAGCUGCCGCUGCGCCCGCCGCCCCGCCACCUGCCCGGCGAAUGCGGCGCCGGGAGGGCGACCCUCGUGCCCGGAGGCCGGAGCGAGGCAGCCCGGCCACCGCCGUCCGGGGUUUGUGUGCAGACAUCCUCAGGUGGGGCGGAGAGAGGCCCCCGCGUUCCCUUUGAGAUCGGCGUGUUAAGGAGACAACCAGCAGGACGGGGUCCCGCGGAGAAAGCGUUGCCUCCAGAGCUUGCCGCUGUUUUGUUCCCCCUGGUUUCUGCGAGGCACAGCUGUGGCUUUAUUCCAGCGUCACAUCGCGUCCAUUGGUAUCAGAGUCAAUAAGAUCAGUACUUACAUACAUUGGCUCUGGGAGGAGCGCAUCUGCCGAGGCGCCAUGCAUGACACAGUGGCAGCACGUCGUGUCUGCUGGAGCGAUCAGUGUCACCCAUGGCCAGCUACACGACCUAGGGAGUGUGCACAGAGGAUAUUUGCUGCUUCUGAAGUUCUGGAGAUCUUUUUUUAUAGAAUCAUGAAAUCAUUUGAUCUGGAAGAGCUCCCCAAAGGCCACCUAGUGCAAAUGCCCUGCAAUGAACAGGGACACCUACAGCAGAUCAGGGUGCUCAGAGCCCCCUGCAGCCUGACCUUGCAUGUCUGCGGCGAUGGCCACCCACCACCUCUCUGGGCACCCUGUUCUAGUGCUUCACUGCCCUUAUUGUAAAUAACUGCUUCCUUAUGUCCACUCUAAAUCUCCCCUCUUUUAGUUUGAAACCAUUUACCCUUGUCACAACAGACCCUACUAAAGAGUCCUGCUCUGGGUUUGUUCCCCUUUGCCUUGCUCCCAGCCUGGCUGUCACAAGCAUCCUUCUGUUGGCUGUCCGUAAGGCCUUCCGAAAUGCCUCAGCUCAUCUCUUUGUGUCAAGGCCAAAUGGUGCCAACAAAUUGCCUGCUGCUCCUGCAUCCCUCCCUGUGCUCCUGCAAUGCAUGAGGUCCAGUCCUGGAAUGCGUGGAGAGUUGUAGGGAGGAAAUAAAGCUGGUUCGUUGGUAGCCAGCUUCUGGAGUCAAACAAUUCACCACUGUUUUGUAUCAUGCUACCAGGAGAAUUAUCUUUAGCUAUGAAACAAGAGCCCUGAGCAACUGUAGGUAUGGAGGAAGCCACGACACAUUUCUCACAAGAUGAGAGGUGAUAAAAUGAAUAUUUACAUGCUGGUUUGCACUCUGCCUCUCUACAUUAUCUCUUCAUUUUCAGCUGGGCAAGCCCUGAAGUGAUCUGGUUUGCUGGUAAAUCUGUCCUGAGCUGCUUCCUCAGCACAACUGCUGCUUGCUUUCUUCCCCAUCAGAGGCACAUGAAGAAACUCCCGUUCCUUCUGUGGUCCUUGGCUAUGCCAUAGUUACAUGUGCUGCUUUUACAUCUUCACUGCAACAUCUGCUUCCCAGUGAGUACUCCGGUCUCCCAUGGAAGUCACACCAGCACUAUCCAUGCUUUGCCACUAUGCCUAUCAGCCUACAACUGGGAGAGUAUUCACCUAAACCCCUUGCUGGCACGUGGGCAGUGCCAGGAAUAUGCGGGAUCUGAAACCAUAGGUGACACCUGCUAGCCAUGACUCAAUGAAAGCGAAUGAAAGGCGUGAUGCAGUAAGCACUUGGCUCUAGCUCUUUUAAUUGGAGUUUUGUUUUUAUUCGUAUUUCUUUUCUGUCUGCUUUUCCAAAGUUUCAUAACACAGGCAGCCAAUUCUUGUGGAUGGUGAACAAACCAUUGACAAUCCCAUGGAGGGAAUUUUCCUGCAUCGGGUACAUGUGCACUGUCUGCAGAUCAGACUUCUUACUCACUUUACCUUCCGUCACUGCAGUCACAUUCAUGGAUUGCCCCUGGCCUGAUAGACUUUAACUAUCUGCAAAGGAGUGCUCUAAAUUUAAUUUGCAUGCAGUGGAUGACAGAUAUCUGUGGCUUCUGGUGCUUUGCAGGAAUUGGUAAGACCUAAAUUUUACAACAAGGCUCCCUGGACUGACACAGCAAUGCUGGAUGCUACUCUGGUAUGAUGGGGUAAUGAAUCAGUUGCUGGAAGCCUUCAACAUGCGCUGAACAUCACCCUAGAAAUGAAACAAAGGGGAAAGUUUUGCUGGUGGCAGAAAGGAUAUAAUCUCCUCGUGGAGAUUCAGACUCUUCAUCGUAUGAACCGUUUCAGAGAGGCAGAGAUGAAGGUGCGGAAAGAGGACAGGGCAAGAGGAAGAACAUUGCACGAUGAAGAACCUGGCAGAGGCCAAUCAGUCAAAAAAAAAGGAAAAACUGUGGCAAGGAAGUAUAUCUAAGGAAGCAAAGAAGGAAAAGAUGCAACUGCUCACCUGGCUGCCACAUCAUUUUCUUUGUCCCACGUGUACCAAUACCAAGAAAACAGGAACAAAAAAUUGAGGCUGAAGGACUGGACAAUCUGUGUCAGUCAUUUAAAUUAAAAAAUAAAGUUCAUUUCCAGUUUGCAAA